AUGGCGGGUGACUCCGAGGAGCAGAAGUCCGAGCUCUUCAACAUGGUUAAGGAGAUCAUGUCCCUGCACAGGGAGCGCACGGACCUGCUCGCCGCCCUCACCCCCGGGGUCUCCGUCUGGAAGCGGCGAGGGCCAGGAGAAGAGGCCCUAGUCCGGAGGCUCGCCGGAAGGGACUACACGGCCCCCGUCCAGGGCCAGGUCAAGGAGAUGGAGACGGAAUCGGCCUCGACGGCGGAACAACUAGAGCUAGGGAGGUGCUUUGAUUCUAUCGUCCAGGACACGGGGGACCUGGGUCACCGGAUGCUGUCCAUGGCGUACGCUGUGGUCAAACCCGAUAAUGGUGCCGCCCUCUCCUCGUACAUGGCCGACGAGCUGGUUAACUCGACGUCCGCAUUAAUGCACGCCUGCAAGGAGCUGUACCAAGACACCACCGACGAUAAUGAGCAGGCGGCAGCAGAGGAGGAGCAGAAGAACACAUUAUUCUUGGAUCUCUGCGACAAGUUCCUGAGAGAACCCUUGAGCUACGAGAACGAGUUGGCGUUAGUGGUUACCAGGGAGGAGGUGGAGGAGUACGAGCAGGAGGUGGAGAAAAAGAAGAAAAUGAAGGAGGAGCUGCGUCAGCAGAGCAUGGCAUAUUGGAAGCAAUGGGAGGAGAGACAGAAGCAGAGGGAUAGGUACGAGAGGGAGAAGGAGAUGGGAAACGUGGAGGAGUAUGAGUUGAGGUGGGCGAAGGCAAAGGCGAAGGAGAAGGAGGAGAAGAAGAGGAGGGAGAAGGACCAGGAGGAGCAGAACAAGGAGGAGGCCACAAUGGAGUAUCUCAAGACGGGGAUGGAGGCGACCGGGGAAUUAUUCGCGGAUUAUCGGUUCGGUUGGGAAACCCGAUGCGGCAGCAAGGGUGUAAGGUGCGGCGGCUUCCGAGACACAACGACAUUGAGCCCUAUGCAUUUUACGCAUUACACACCCAAUACCAUCCGAUCCUCAUGUGGUGUCACUGGGAGCACCUUGCAGAUCUACUCCAUCAGAAUUCUUGAACUAAAAAGAGGAUUGAACUGGCCACUCAAACUGUACGGAGUGGUAGCUGCUCGAGACACGGUGGAUCGCAACCGCAACAUUGUCUUCUCUCGGUCAAGUCAUUACUCUCAAGAACUCAAUGAAGAUGGCUCUUCUUUAUGUCUGACUGGCCCGUCUCGUGCAAUUGUAGCUCUGGGCCCUGUUGACUUUGAAAUUGAACUGAAAAUAGAAGAGGGAGAGGAGUCCCAAGAGAAAGAAUUGAUCACUCUGAGCAAGCGGUAUGACGGUACAAGUACCUCCCUCAUGUUCGAGAACAGUUUGUGUGUAGCGGAGUUAAAAUUUAAGCAGAUUACUGAAGCGGUCCAGGCCACCGUCAUGGGUGUAUGCCUUGUUGAAGGGGACUGGCCUUUUGAACAUGGAUGCCGAGUUGCUUGCUUCUUAUCUGCUGCUGCAGAUGAAGUUGUGGCUGAUGCAGAUGAAUUUGUGUUGCUUGAUUGUCGCGGUGAUGAUGAAGAAGUGCGUGUAGGGUCAGACGGUUACCUUCAUCUGUCGAGGAAUGUUGUGUCGGUGCAAUCACAAGGAACAUUGGUAGUUGUCAUACGAACCUACUUGGAGUCCGGUCAGGCUGCUCAAGAUUCGAAGGUCGAAUUCCCUGCCAAGCUUUGCCAAACUAGUGAGAGUGAAUGUUCAGUUGGCAACAGUAAGGUGAAGAUCGUUGUUGCUUGGUCCCUCCUUGUCAAGGAGAAGCAGGACCUCCUGCUGGAUUGCCCAGCGGUAGAGCCUUGA
rnacentral:rRNA from 1 species